UGGAAGAGCUGAGCAGUUGCAACCGAGUCCUUUCGGAUCCAGAGAGCCAAUGAUAUUUGCUAUCCAGCCCUCUACAGAAAGGGUUUGCCGACUUCUAGACCUGAGGGCAUCCCAAACAAUCUUUUGAAGGCCUCGUCUGUCCUACCUUCUCCUGCAUCCGGGACAAGUGGACCCAGCCCAUCGCAGUGUGGUGGAGAAACCAAGGCUGAUACUGACGGCAGGUCAUGUUGUUGAUGCAUCGAUUGGUCUCUUCUUCAACACGGAGCAUCUGCCGGCUGAGGUGCCAGGGGGCCAAGGAGGGUUUAAAGAGGAAAGGACUUCUGCCAAAACUCCCCGUCUCCUUUAUCAGUCCCAGUAAUCAUCGUAUUCCACAGAAGAGAAUGACAGCAGAUGAGAACAGCGAGGCCCAGAGAGAUUAGAUGGUUUGUCAUGAAGCCAGUAAGCAGCAGAGCUGGAGUUCAAGUCUGUGCACUCUGCUUCAGAGCCUACGUGCUGCGCCACUACCUUCGACCGUCUCUCAGUGUGACAAAGCCCUGGUGCCGUCCUCAGGGAUGCCACAGCCACAGCUGCCCUGCCGCUGAGGAGUCACCCUUGAAGAGGAAGAAAAAUCCAAGCCUAUGGACUACUUAAAAGAAAACUGAAGCUGAAGAGAGUAAAGAUGCAAAUACCCAGACUGAUGACAUUUGUUAAACACAUUCCCUUAAAUUCUUCUCCAAGGCGCAGAAGCCAUGUCCCACUAGUAAAGAGUGGCUGCAAUUCUCCCUCGCUUUAAAAGUUCAAGGAAAGAAAUCUUCUCUAUGAUGCAAAAUUUACUUUCUCUGUCAUAUCACUUGAGGUAAAAAUUGUCUAGGUGCUCUGCGUGUCACUGUCCCUUUAAACAUGAGAAAUUUGAGAGAUAAAACAAGCACUUAUUUUCUCCACUGCGCACAGAGGUCAAGAUCCAAUGGUGUGUCACAAUCUGCUGUGAGCUCUGUUGAAAGUAAUUUGCUACUAUUUAUAGACCAAAGUUUGCAAAUGAUUUACUUUUGUUGGAAGACGGAGAGAAGUCAAGGGCAUCCCAAAAUGUCACUCCCUCGGCUGUAUUCCGAGAGGCCUUCCUGAGGGGGACAGAGGAGAGACCUUCACCACCGUGGUUUUCAGAGGUAAGGAGGCUGGAACUGCCUCAGAAGACAGUGUGCAGACAACAAAAUGCCCCAUGGCCUGGAAAGCAAGGUGCCUGCCGAAAGUUAAACUGUAAAAAUGCGAGAGGGGUGUGAUCUGAGAAUCGCAAAGUCAUUCCUGAGAGACUCGCAGGCCAGAAUAAUUUUUAACUGAAGACUGAAACAGCUGAAGAAAACACGUGAUCCCCAGACACAGGGGAAAAGAGAGACAGUGCGACAGUGCGACGCACCUCCGAGAGGAAAAGGUAGACGUUUCUCUUGGGGGUUCAGUCGUGCCCCCACAUGUUGCAGUCUUGCUCUGCAUUCCUGUGGGGUGAGCCCGUCUGAGAACAGGACCUUCGAGGGUGUUAUUCUUACUUAAGGUGAGGGCUCCUUUGUGAAUAGGAUGUUCAAAGAUGUUAGUUAGAUGAGGCCAAAUGGAAUCAGGGUGGGCCUUGGAAGGCAGAAGAAAUUCGGGAGCUGCCGGAGAAAGAAGCCAGAGCACAAGGCAGAGCCACUUGACGGAGGCCGAGAUGCAAACCAAGGAACCCCUGGGACUGCAGCCGGCCAACACCAGAAAUGGUGUCGAAAUCUUGAUGCAGGGCUCCCAGCCUCCAAAACUGUAGACGGAUUUCCGCUGUUGAAGCCAACCCAUCCUGUGGUAUCUGACAGAGCAGCCCUGGUAGACCAGGACCGUGAGAAGUGUGUGGGGCCGUGGCCAGGCCAUCCAGGCCUGUCUGUGGGGCCAAGCACACCAGGCCUGAGGCCAUAGACAACCGAAAGGUGAAGAGUCCUCAGUUCUCCUUGGUAUGUUUAGGAAGUGCCUUUCUGAGUCCUAUUUGUGUUUUUAUAUGUAUUUUUUUCCUUCAGAGCGCAAGUGCCCAGGGUUUUUGACAUUUAUAUUUUUAUUAUAAAGUAAUAAAUUUGCAUUCUGGUUUUAUGAGCAACUGAUAUGUGUUGAUCGUCUGUUUUGUUCCAGCAUCUAUGCUGGGCACUAGGUUGUCAGAUAUAGAUGAGGGACUGUCCACUCCUCAAGGAACGUCCCUGUGAAGUUAACAAACAUGAGUCUGAUAGAUGCUCCGUGUGCUCAGAAAACCAUGUUUAUGAGCCUACAAAACUGAGGAACGGAACUCGGACUGUGGUGAAUCCGUCACGUUAGAGAACAGCCUAUGAAAUCUCACAAUGAGCAACUGUCUCACCCCAAAUGUGAAAAAAAAAAAUCCCUACACCCCAAUUUUUUGUGUUUAUGUAAGGUCUUAGUCAUCACGGAAAGUCAUUGUUGCUGAGUGAAAAGUCAGAUGGUCUGAGUUUGCUACGUUUUAGCUCUAAUGAUUGUAAAUAGGUUAACUAAGAUCCUUGGAACUUGGUUUUCUCACCUUUAAGAGGAGGAGGAUGGUUUGUCCUUUCUCCUUCUCCCAGAGGUUAGGAAGACAGCGAGGACAGGGCAGAGCAGGGAGCGGCCAUCUCUUCCACAGCUACUUGCACCAGGGACUUGGUUCGAUGCUUCUCUUCUCUCCUCGAGCUCUCAGCAGCCUUUAGGGAGUGUUCCUUGAAAACUGGCUUUCUCUAGACUAGAUCAUCUGGAGGCAGGGCUAGGAUUUGAACAUCUGCCCGUCUGUCUCGGAAGCUCGGGCUCUCCCUCACUUCUUUCCUGACAAUCUGUGCACAGGGAUGAUGAAAAGCAGAUGUGUCCUGCAGGGCCAGCUACACCCAGACCCACGGCUCAGAGCGAGGGUUCCCCAACUCCUUCCUGUGCUCCUUUACCCAAGGCAGGGUUUAUUUCUGGAAGUUCCUGCCCAUUCCUGAGUCCCCGGGCCCUGCUAGGCAAGGCUGAUCUGUCCUUCCCGUGAAAUUUUCUGCUAUGUCUCUCCGAUUCCUCACUCACAGACAUUUAAUACCGAGUUUUUUCAGUUAUUAUUUCACAUGUGUCUUAUUUCCUCAGCUAGACUGAUAUUUCCUUUGGGUAAAAGAAACAUCUCUGUACUCCUCGAAGAUUCCAACACAAUGCCUUUAAAAACUUAGGUUUUCAGUGUGUUUUAGGUUGAUAGAUUUAUAAAAUAUUUUAAGACAAAAACCGAAAGGGUGGUUACGAAAAAGGUAUUCUAAUUCAUCUAUUUUAAAAAAAAAACAUAAAACAUUUAUUCCCAUCUAUAUUUUGGGUAAAAAAUGCAUUCCACUUUUAUUAUCCUUUUCUCAUACUGAAAAUGUGGUAACAUGAUGAAAAUAAAAAAGUAUGUUAUUACCUGGACAUAACCACUGUUACUAUUUUUUGUGUAUA